rnacentral:rRNA from 1 species
AGAGUUUGAUCAUGGCUCAGAUUGAACGCUGGCGGCAUGCUUUACACAUGCAAGUCGAACGGUAACAGGGAGCUUGCUCCGCUGACGAGUGGCGAACGGGUGAGUAAUAUAUCGGAACGUACCCAAGAGUGGGGGAUAACGUAGCGAAAGUUACGCUAAUACCGCAUACGAUCCAAGGAUGAAAGCAGGGGACCUUCGGGCCUUGUGCUCCUGGAGCGGCCGAUAUCUGAUAAGCUAGUUGGUGAGGUAAAGGCUCACCAAGGCGACGAUCAGUAGCUGGUCUGAGAGGACGACCAGCCACACUGGAACUGAGACACGGUCCAGACUCCUACGGGAGGCAGCAGUGGGGAAUUUUGGACAAUGGGCGCAAGCCUGAUCCAGCAAUGCCGCGUGAGUGAAGAAGGCCUUCGGGUUGUAAAGCUCUUUUGUCAGGGAAGAAACGGCUGUGGCUAAUAUCCACGGCUAAUGACGGUACCUGAAGAAUAAGCACCGGCUAACUACGUGCCAGCAGCCGCGGUAA